rnacentral:rRNA from 1 species
CGGUGGAGCAUGUGGUUUAAUUCGAAGCAACGCGAAGAACCUACCAGGCCUUGACAUGCAGAGAACUUUCCAGAGAUGGAUUGGUGCCUUCGGGAACUCUGACACAGGUGCUGCACGGCUGUCGUCAGCUCGUGUCGUGAGAUGUUGGGUUAAGUCCGUAACGAGCGCAACCCUUGUCCUUAGUUACCAGCACGUUAUGGUGGGCACUCUAAGGAGACUGCCGGUGCAAACCGGAGGAAGGUGGGGAUGACGUCAAGUCAUCAUGGCCCUUACGGCCUGGGCUACACACGUGCUACAAUGGUCGGUACAAAGGGUUGCCAAGCCGCGAGGUGGAGCUAAUCCCAUAAAACCGAUCGUAGUCCGGAUCGCAGUCUGCAACUCGACUGCGUGAAGUCGGAAUCGCUAGUAAUCGUGAAUCAGAAUGUCACGGUGAAUACGUUCCCGGGCCUU